rnacentral:tRNA from 1 species
GCCCCGGUAGCUCAGUGGAUAGAGCGUCUGCCUCCGGAGCAGAAGGUCGCAGGUUCGAAUCCUGUCCGGGGCAC